rnacentral:rRNA from 1 species
UACGGGGGGGGGCAAGCGUUGUCCGGAAUCAUUGGGCGUAAAGCGCGCGUAGGCGGCCCGGUAAGUCCGCUGUGAAAGUCCAGGGCUCAACCCUGGAAUGCCGGUGGAUACUGUCGGGCUAGAGUCCGGAAGAGGCGAGUGGAAUUCCUGGUGUAGCGGUGGAAUGCGCAGAUAUCAGGAGGAACACCUAUGGCGAAGGCAGCUCGCUGGGACGGUACUGACGCUGAGGCGCGAAAAGCGUGGGGGAGCGAACAGG